GCCUCAGUGGCUCAGUCGGUUGAGCAUCCGACUUUGGCUCAGAUCCUGAUCUGACGGUUUGUGGGUUCGAGCCCCGGGUUGGGGCU
rnacentral:tRNA from 1 species